AGAGUUUGAUCAUGGCUCAGGAUGAACGCUAGCGGCAGGCCUAAUACAUGCAAGUCGAACGGGAGUAGCAAUACUCUAGUGGCGCACGGGUGCGUAACGCGUAUGCAACCUACCUUUCAGUGGGGGAUAGCCCGGGGAAACCCGGAUUAAUACCGCAUAAGAUAGUUGAAUGGCAUCAUUUAAUUAUGAAACAUUUAUGGCUGAAAGAUGGGCAUGCGUUAGAUUAGCUAGUUGGUGAGGUAGAGGCUCACCAAGGCUAUGAUCUAUAGGGGUUCUGAGAGGAAGAUCCCCCACACUGGUACUGAGACAGGGACCAGACUCCUACGGGAGGCAGCAGUAGGGAAUAUUGGGCAAUGGAGGCAACUCUGACCCAGCCAUGCCGCGUGCAGGAAGAAGGCCUUCUGGGUUGUAAACUGCUUUUGGAAGGGAACAGAAAGGCUUUGCGAAGCAACUUGAGUGUACCUUCAGAAUAAGCACCGGCUAACUCCGUGCCAGCAGCCGCGGUAAUACGGAGGGUGCAAGCGUUGUCCGGAUUUAUUGGGUUUAAAGGGUGCGUAGGCGGCUUAUUAAGUCAGGGGUGAAAGACUGCAGCUCAACUGUAGCAGUGCCUUUGAUACUGAUGAGCUUGAGUACAGAUGAGGCAGGCGGAAUGGGUGGUGUAGCGGUGAAAUGCAUAGAUACCAUCCAGAACACCGAUUGCGAAGGCAGCCUGCUAAACUGUAACUGACGCUGAGGCACGAAAGCGUGGGGAUCGAACAGGAUUAGAUACCCUAGUAGUCC
rnacentral:rRNA from 1 species